ACUAGCCAUGAACUUUCAUCUUACAAAAUGUUUGACCAGUGGUCAGAAAUCCUGGAAGGCCUCUUUAAGACAUCUUUUAUUCCCAGUCAAUCAAAGUAUAUGCACUACAAUAAUACAAAAUUAAGGGAACAUUUAAUCAUCACAGUAAAACACCAAGUCAAUUCAACUUCAGGGAUAGCAAUCUGUCCAGUAAGGAAGCAUAAGCAUUUGUGAAUCAAUGUUACCUGUUUUGGUGCAAAUGAAAGUGACAACAGGUACGCUGGAGAGGCAACAGCAAGGCAACCCCCAAAAAGGGAAUGGUUUUACAGGUGGUAGCCACAGUUAAUUUAUCUCUCCUUAUCCUUCCUGACUGAUUCUUCUCUAGUUUUGCAUUUUUCUAGUGUCCUUGUCACUACUGGUAGCAUGAGGCGGCACCUGCAGCCCAUUCAAGUUGCACAGGCAGUCCAGCUACUCCAGGAUGGCACCUACAUACGUGCCGUCACAAGAAAGUUUGCAGUGUCUCACAGUACAGACUCAAGAGCAUGGAGGAGAUACCAGGAGACAGGCACAAAGAGAGCAGGACAGGGCUGUAGAAGGGCAUUGACCCAGCAGCAGGAUCGGUAUCUGUUCCUUUGUGUGAGGAGGAAUAGUAGGAGCACUGCCAGAGCCCUACAAAAUCUUCACGGAUGAGAACAGGUUCACACUGAGCACAUUUGACAGACAAUGCGUCUCCAGACUUGAAAUAAUUGUGAAUGUUAUGCUGCUUGCAACAUCAUCCAGAAUGACCGAGUUGGCAGUGGGUCAGUGUCGUGGAAAUCGCUAAAGGUGAAAGGCAUAGAGACUAUAAAUUAUUUCACAAGUAAAGCUUUAUUCAAGAUUUGCAAAUCAGGUCAAGAGAUCCCUGUUGAAGGUUGAGCUCAGGCCUAUUCAUAUUCAGUAAAGUCCACUGUGUCCCCCUCCCAUGCAUGUUGUUGCAAACUUCAGGAACAACAUAAGACGUCUGCAGCCCUUGAGAAAUUAGCCAAAGCUAUCUGCUGUAGGCACAUCCUGUACAAGUGACCAGAGCUGAAACACACAAUGGCCUUACUAAAUUAUGUAUUUUACUUAGAAUAAACAAUAGGAUUUCAUUGUACUAUGGAAUAACAACAUUUCUAACACAUUCCCUCCUUUUGAGACUAAGUCUCAACAAAAAUAAAUGUUAAACAGUACAACCAAUGAAAAAAUAAAAGUUUAGUGAGUCGUUCCUCAGUCAGUGUAAGUAACAGCGGAGGGUGUGUUCCAACUACAGGGGGAUCACACUUCUCAGCCUCCCCGGGAAAGUCUAUGCCAGGGUACUGGAGAGGAGAAUACGGCCGAUAGUAGAACCUCGGAUUCAGGAGGAACAGUGUGGUUUUCUUCCGGGCCGUGGAACACUGGACCAGCUCUAUACCCUCUACGGGGUGCUGGAGGGUUUAUGGGAGUUUGCCCAACCAAUCCACAUGUGUUUUGUAGAUUUGGAGAAGGCAUUCGACUGUGUCCCUUGCGGCAUCCUGUGGAGGGUGCUUCGGGAAUAUGGGGUCCUGGGUCCUUUGCUAAGGGCUGUCAGGUCCCUGUACGACCGAAGCAGGAGCUUGGUCCGCAUUGCCGGCAGUAAGUCAGACUUGUUCCCUGUGCAUGUUGGACUCCGGCAGGGCUGCCCUUUGUCACCGGUUCUGUUCGUAAUUUUUAUGGACAGAAUUUCUAGGCGCA
ensembl:lncRNA